AGUUGUUAAAACGAGACGAGACGAGAUAUUUAACGACUAACGGGUUAAUAUCCUAAAUAUCUAACCUACCCUACCCCUAACCACCCCCAAACCUCCCAAAACCCCUUUCCCCUCACUAACUCACGCUAUAUCAGCCCACACCACACACACAACUCACAUAUUCACACACACAACACCUAAAACACACACUACACACGCCAUUUUCCAUUUAAGCUUGGACGGAGCUUUUGACCUCCGAUUUGAGCACCGAGACGAGCGCCGAUCAUCUUUUCGAUCAUGUAUCUAAGUAGGUUGAGCUGAUGUGAUGAUGGUGCUGCAAUGAGCGGAGUCUCCAGGGUUGUUAAUAAAUAGUUAACCUGUCUAGAAUAUGUCUUCAUACAUAUGUCUAGCUACUUUCCGCUGCAAGAUGUUGUUGAUGUUAUAGUAUGUUAUGUCAUACUUUGAGUCUUAAGAGAAUGGUUUCAUACGAUGUAUAACUUGAUUAAUGAUAUUAAUUAAGUUUUAUGCUGUCUUUCA